AGGGUGUUUUGUUUUGUUUUUGAUUGUAGAAAGGCCAUGUUCAGUUCGAGCGCAAAGAUUGUGAAGCCCAAUGGCGAAAAGCCAGAUGAAUUUGAAUCUGGCAUCUCCCAGGCCCUCUUGGAGUUGGAGAUGAAUUCUGACUUAAAGGCCCAGCUGA